rnacentral:rRNA from 1 species
UGAAGGUCCCCCACAUUGGAACUGAGACACGGUCCAAACUCCUACGGGAGGCAGCAGUGAGGAAUAUUGGUCAAUGGACGAGAGUCUGAACCAGCCAAGUAGCGUGAAGGAUGACUGCCCUAUGGGUUGUAAACUUCUUUUAUAAAGGAAUAAAGUGGUCCACGUGUGGAUUUUUGUAUGUACUUUAUGAAUAAGGAUCGGCUAACUCCGUGCCAGCAGCCGCGGUAAUACGGAGGAUCCAAGCGUUAUCCGGAUUUAUUGGGUUUAAAGGGAGCGUAGAUGGAUUUUUAAGUCAGUUGUGAAAGUUCGGGGCUCAACCCCGUAAUUGCAGUUGAUACUGGAUAUCUUGAGUACAGUUGAGGUAGGCGGAAUUCGUGGUGUAGCGGUGAAAUGCUUAGAUAUCACGAAGAACUCCGAUUG